UACGUAGGGGGCAAGCGUUGUCCGGAUUUAUUGGGCGUAAAGAGCGUGUAGGCGGCUUUACAGGUCCGUUGUGAAAACUCGAGGCUCAACCUCGAGACGCCGGUGGAAACCGUAAAGCUAGAGUCCGGAAGAGGAGAGUGGAAUUCCUGGUGUAGCGGUGAAAUGCGCAGAUAUCAGGAGGAACACCGGUGGCGAAGGCGGGUCUCUGGGCCGAUACUGACGCUGGAGGAGCGAAAGCGUGGGGAGCGAACAGG
rnacentral:rRNA from 1 species